AGGGAGCUACAGUAUAUUCGGCUGAACCGCUAAACAGGACGCGAGUCUCCCGAGUCUCAGCGUCUCAGCCUCAGUCCCCUUUAACUGCACUGUCCGCUGGAGUACUGUACUGUACCUCGAUGUGCUUUGAAACGGAGUGCUUGUGUCUAGUUUAUACACUGUGCGAAUUGCAGGUUGUACAGUUUUUUUUUUUAAAGACGGAUUAAAUCUGACAGCAUUAACUAUCUUCAAAAGUACAAUUUGAAAACCCUCGAGCUACAAUCAGAUGCUUUUCACCAGCUUAGUGCUGAACAGUAGACUUCUCACACAACCAGAGCUACUGUCUGCUCUCGGUCUGAAGGAGAGAACGAGGGAUUUUAGACCCACAGCUGCACACUGCCUUCAGAGUUUAAGCAUUCAGGACCACAGGCUCCAUAAUAAAGCAAUGUGAUCUAAGCACAUCUAACCUUGGCUGUGUGACUGACAGCCAGCAGUAAACCAUACAUAAACUGUCCAGAAAAUCGUUUAAGUGGUCUCACUUUACUGAGCCAGGAAAUUUGUGGAAUGCAGACAAUCAAUGAACUGGAUCGAGCCUUCUCUAUCAAUUUCCUAACAGAUCUGUGAUCUUGGCUCGUUUUGGCUGUGCUCCAGAGCCAGCCCUCAGCACAGAGCUGGGCCGCAUCCUGGUCUAUGUCUUGUACAAGGGUAGAGUCUGGACCACGGGAAACAGGGCAGCAGAGGUGACUCAGCACUAACAGUAUAAACGCUCUGGUCUGAGGACGUCUAGAAGACCAUUUCCUUUUAUUUAAUUUGUACAUCAUAUUUGUCUAGUUGCUAAUUGCAACACUUGUGUGCAAAUGUGAAAUAAAUUACCUUUAUCCUCUGUAAUACCUGCAACUAUAUUAAAGUUAUCUUUUACUGA